CCCUGCCCUUUGUACACACCGCCCGUCGCUCCUACCGAUUGGGUGUGCUGGUGAAAUGUUCGGAUUGGCGGGUCGUGGCGGUUUCCGCCCCUUCCUGCCGAGAAGUUCAUUAAACCCUCCCACCUAGA
rnacentral:rRNA from 1 species